rnacentral:rRNA from 1 species
AUACGUAGGGGGCGAGCGUUGUCCGGAAUGAUUGGGCGUAAAGGGCGCGUAGGCGGCCCGGUAAGUCUGGAGUGAAAGUCCUGUUUUUAAGAUGGGAAUUGCUUUGGAUACUGUCGGGCUUGAGUGCAGGAGAGGUAAGUGGAUUUCCCAGUGUAGCGGUGAAAUGCGUAGAGAUUGGGAGGAACACCAGUGGCGAAGGCGACUUACUGGACUGUAACUGACGCUGAGGCGCGAAAGUGUGGGGAGCAAACAGGAUUAGAUACCCUGGUAGUCCACACUGUAAACGAUGAAUGCUAGGUGUAGGGGGUAUCGACCCCUUCUGUGCCGCAGUCAACACAAUAAGCAUUCCGCCUGGGGAGUACGGCCGCAAGGUUGAAACUUAAAGGAAUUGACGGGG